rnacentral:lncRNA from 1 species
AGAAAGACUGAAAUCAGAACAUUUUAGUUCCCUGACAUUUGAAUCUCUACAGGUUCAAAGGGAGAUAAAGGAGACAAAGGAGAAGAUGGGAAGCCUGGAGUCUCUGAGAGUGCAGGGAAGAAAGCUCCUUCUGAACCUGGUCCUCCUGGCCCACCUGGUCCGCCAGGACCACCUGGGAAUGAUGGACAACCAGGUAUUGGUCAACCUGGUCCUCCUGGUGAAAAAGGUAAACCAGGAAGCUUUGUACCCACUUCAGAAACCUUCUUUGCUGGACCACCUGGGCCUCCUGGACCUAUUGGACCAAAGGGAUCACAAGGUGAUAUUGGUCCUCAAGGCUUCCCUGGCCAGCCUGGAUUACCUGGAGAACCUGGAAUCGGUAUUCCAAGACAGCCAGGGACACCAGGACCACGUGGAGAACAAGGUCCUGAGGGUCCACCAGGAC